AGCUACAGGCUUAACACAUGCAAGUCGAGGGGCAGCAUGGUCUUAGCUUGCUAAGGCCGAUGGCGACCGGCGCACGGGCGAGUAACACGUAUCCAACCUGCCGUCUACUCUUGGACAGCCUUCUGAAAGGAAGAUUAAUACAAGAUGGCAUCAUGAGUCCGCAUGUUCACAUGAUUAAAGGUAUUCCGGUAGACGAUGGGGAUGCGUUCCAUUAGAUAGUAGGCGGGGUAACGGCCCACCUAGUCUUCGAUGGAUAGGGGUUCUGAGAGGAAGGUCCCCCACAUUGGAACUGAGACACGGUCCAAACUCCUACGGGAGGCAGCAGUGAGGAAUAUUGGUCAAUGGGCGAGAGCCUGAACCAGCCAAGUAGCGUGAAGGAUGACUGCCCUAUGGGUUGUAAACUUCUUUUAUAAAGGAAUAAAGUCGGGUAUGGAUACCCGUUUGCAUGUACUUUAUGAAUAAGGAUCGGCUAACUCCGUGCCAGCAGCCGCGGUAAUACGGAGGAUCCGAGCGUUAUCCGGAUUUAUUGGGUUUAAAGGGAGCGUAGAUGGAUGUUUAAGUCAGUUGUGAAAGUUUGCGGCUCAACCGUAAAAUUGCAGUUGAUACUGGAUAUCUUGAGUGCAGUUGAGGCAGGCGGAAUUCGUGGUGUAGCGGUGAAAUGCUUAGAUAUCACGAAGAACUCCGAUUGCGAAGGCAGCCUGCUAAGCUGCAACUGACAUUGAGGCUCGAAAGUGUGGGUAUCAAACAGGAUUAGAUACCCUGGUAGUCCACACGGUAAACGAUGAAUACUCGCUGUUUGCGAUAUACUGCAAGCGGCCAAGCGAAAGCGUUAAGUAUUCCACCUGGGGAGUACGCCGGCAACGGUGAAACUCAAAGGAGUUGACGGGGGCCCGCACAAGCGGAGGAACAUGUGGUUUAAUUCGAUGAUACGCGAGGAACCUUACCCGGGCUUAAAUUGCAGAUGAAUUACGGUGAAAGCCGUAAGCCGCAAGGCAUCUGUGAAGGUGCUGCAUGGUUGUCGUCAGCUCGUGCCGUGAGGUGUCGGCUUAAGUGCCAUAACGAGCGCAACCCUUGUUGUCAGUUACUAACAGGUUCCGCUGAGGACUCUGACAAGACUGCCAUCGUAAGAUGUGAGGAAGGUGGGGAUGACGUCAAAUCAGCACGGCCCUUACGUCCGGGGCUACACACGUGUUACAAUGGGGGGUACAGAGGGCCGCUACCACGCGAGUGGAUGCCAAUCCCCAAAACCUCUCUCAGUUCGGACUGGAGUCUGCAACCCGACUCCACGAAGCUGGAUUCGCUAGUAAUCGCGCAUCAGCCACGGCGCGGUGAAUACGUUCCCGGGCCUUGUACACACCGCCCGUCAAGCCAUGGGAGCCGGGGGUACCUGAAGUGCGUAACCGCGAGGAGCGCCCUAGGGUAAAACUGGUGACUGGGGCU
rnacentral:rRNA from 1 species